rnacentral:rRNA from 1 species
CACGUAGGAGGCGAGCGUUGUCCGGAAUCAUUGGGCGUAAAGAGCGCGCAGGCGGUUUGUCGCGUCUGCUGUGAAAAUCCGGGGCUCAACUCCGGACUUGCAGUGGGUACGGGCAGGCUAGAGUGUGGUAGGGGAGACUGGAAUUCCUGGUGUAGCGGUGGAAUGCGCAGAUAUCAGGAGGAACACCGAUGGCGAAGGCAGGUCUCUGGGCCACUACUGACGCUGAGAAGCGAAAGCAUGGGGAGCGAACAGG